UUACCGAGUUUACAACUCCCAAACCCCUGUGAACAUACCUUAUGUUGCCUCGGCGGAUCAGCCCGCGCCCCGUAAAAAGGGACGGCCCGCCGCAGGAACCCUAAACUCUGUUUUUAGUGGAACUUCUGAGUAUAAAAAACAAAUAAAUCAAAACUUUCAACAACGGAUCUCUUGGUUCUGGCAUCGAUGAAGAACGCAGCAAAAUGCGAUAAGUAAUGUGAAUUGCAGAAUUCAGUGAAUCAUCGAAUCUUUGAACGCACAUUGCGCCCGCCAGUAUUCUGGCGGGCAUGCCUGUUCGAGCGUCAUUUCAACCCUCAAGCCCAGCUUGGUGUUGGGAGCUGCAGUCCUGCUGCACUCCCCAAAUACAUUGGCGGUCACGUCGAGCUUCCAUAGCGUAGUAAUUUACACAUCGUUACUGGUAAUCGUCGCGGCCACGCCGUUAAACCCCAACUUCUGAAUGUUGACCUCGGAUCAGGUAGGAAUACCCGCUGAACUUAAGCAU
rnacentral:rRNA from 1 species